AUAUAUAAAUAAACUAUCGCUUUAUUUUAUAAAAUAAAGAGGAAAGUCCGGACUCCUGAGUUCAAAGAGCCAGAUAACAUCUGGAAAAUAUAUUUUAAUAAAAUAUAUUUAUGAAAAGUGCAACAGAAAAAAAACCACUUUAUAAAUAUAAAGAAAGGGUGAAAAGGUGAGGUAAGAGCUUACCAUAAAUUUGGUAACAAAUUUAGUAUUUGUAAACUCCUCUUGGAGAAAGACUAAAAUUGGUUUAUUGAACUCUAAAAUAACCUAGGUAAGUCGAAAAGAAUUAAUAUGUGAAUAUUAAUCAAGAUUAAUGAUAGUUAAUACAGAAUCCGGCUUAUUUUUUAUAUAUAAAA
rnacentral:RNase_P_RNA from 1 species